GCCUAGCCGUAAACAUUGAUAGACCAACACAACCCCUAUCCGCCCGGGAACUACAAGCACCAGCUUAAAACCCAAAGGACUUGGCGGUGCUUUAGAUCCUACUAGAGGAGCCUGUUCUAGAACCGAUAACCCCCGUUCAACCUCACCCUUCCUUGUUUCCCCCGCCUAUAUACCGCCGUCGUCAGCCCACCCUAUGAAGGUUUAAAAGUAGGCUCAAUUGGCACCGCCCAGAACGUCAGGCCGAGGUGUAGCGUAUGGAAGGGGAAGAAAUGGGCUACAUUCCCUAUCUUAGGGCACACGAAUGGUGUGCUGAAACGCACAUCUUGAAGGAGGAUUUAGCAGUAAGCGGGAAGUAGAGCGUCCUGCUGAAAUUGGCUC
rnacentral:rRNA from 1 species